AUGCUACUCAAUUCUUUGAUAUUCACUUUACUUUUCUGUUCGUCAAGCUCUCUGAAUAUUCUUGUCUACUCUCCUGCAUAUGCUGCCAGUCACAGUAAUUUUUUGGGCAAACUGGCGGACACAUUGACGGAACGAGGACAUAAUGUGACCUACUUAAUGCCGGUAAUGGACCCUGGAAAGCGAGACGAAUGUAUCGGAGUCAAAUUAACGAAAGAUCUGGUUAUUGUGGAAGCCGAUGAAGAAAUGAUGUCGCGUGAAGAGGGAGUUACGCUGGAUGAGGAGAUUAUGGAACUUUAUUGGAAAUCUGAAAUGGAUUCUUCUAAUUCUAGAGAUAUGUUCUCGUUUUUCAACAAUGCCAUGAAAGCUGCAUGCCGUAAUUUUCUCAAGCGACGGGACAUUUUCGAACAAAUGAAAUCGCGUAACUUUGAUGUAGCAAUUGUCGAGCCCCUUUCAGUCUGUGGGCUUGGAUUCGUGAAGGCUCUCGGAAUUGAAAAGACAAUUUUGGCUUCAUCCUGUACUUUUUACGAUUCAAUUAUGGAUUAUAUUGGAGAACCAUUGGAUUUUAGUUAUGUUCCUGCGUUAUUCAGUGUGACUGGAGACGUGAUGACUAUGUCGGAACGAUAUGAGAAUUGGAUGGUGACUAAGGAAAUCAACAUUGGUAUUCAUGAAAAGUUCGAUGACGAAAUGAAAAGCUAUCGUGAAUUUCUCGGGCAAGAUCUUCCAGAUUGGCGGGAACUUCUCUCAACCGCGUCAAUUUUCUUUAUCAACUCAAAUCCAUUUUUUGAUUUUCCACGUCCAGUUCUACAAAAAACUGUUCCAAUUGGUGGAAUAUCAGUUAACUUGAAGUGGAUCAAAGAGCAAAAACUAACUAAAGACUGGGAGGAAGUCUUGGAAAUGAGAAAGAAAACUGUUUUAAUCUCAUUUGGAUCACUGGUAAAAUCGGCAUAUAUGCCAAAGAAAUGGAGAAACGGCCUGCUCGAUGUGAUCAAAUCAAUGCCAGAUGUCACAUUUAUCUGGAAAUAUGAAACCGACGAUGUCUCAUUUGCUGAUGGAGUUUCAAAUAUUCACUUUUCAAAAUGGGUACCCCAAACAGCUCUUCUCAAUGAUCCCCGACUAUCAGUAUUCGUGACUCAUGGAGGACUUGGUAGCACAAUGGAAUUGGCCUACAGUGGAAAACCGGCAGUUGUCAUUCCAGUGUUCGCCGAUCAAAUUCGAAAUGCCAACAUGAUUGCUAGACAUAGAGGUGUUAUUUAUCUGCAUAAAAACUCUAUGGAAAAUGUGAAAGUUACUCGGAAAGCAUUCACCGAUGUUCUUUUUGAUGACAGUUAUCAGAAAAAUGCAGAAAAACUGGCGAAUAUUCUGAUGAAUCAACCAUAUAGUCCAAAGGAAAAUGUGAUUAAGUACACUGAAUUUCUGGGAGAGUGAGUUCAUGGAAACUCGGCUUAUCCAAAUUACGACUGUUUUCUUGCAGACAUGGCCCAUUCCCCAAUAUGGAUCCACACGGUCGUCAUCUCAAUUACUUCCAGAAAACAUUCCUGGAUAUUUAUACCCUUUUCGCAUUAUUUUACAUUUUUGUUAGUACAAUUAUUAUAGUUACUAUCAGAUUUGUUUAUAAGUUCACCAGGAAACAUUUUAUUUUGGUGAAAUCUAAAGAAAACUGA
rnacentral:misc_RNA from 1 species